AUGCUUUGCCGAAACUUAUUAGAUGUUUUAGGUAAUGAGGCCCGCAUUUCACUCUUGGGCCGACUUCGGCCAGACGCAGGGGCGGAGCCAGAGGGGUGGCUUGGGGUGGCCCACGCCACCCCUGAGAUUCGAUUGGCCACCCCUUUAAAUCAGCGCGGGAGCUUGGACAGUCAGACACCAGAACUCAGAAAUAUUCAGACAAGGGUGGUGGAGACACUUCAGAUCCUUAUAAGGGUCCAUCAUCAUCAUCUUGUCUCACUGGUUGUCCACGUGCAGCUACAAACCCAACCCCUGGACCUCAUGGUGUGUACUGUAUGUUUAUCCUGGUUAAAUAUAUAUAGAAAACACAUGUUUGUAGAUUCAGACAAGGGUGGUGGAGACACUUCAGAUCCUUAUAAGGGUAUGACAUCUCAGCUAUAUCUGAUUGAAUUGCACUUGUUUUAGUUAAUACAACAAAAUGUAUUUUACAUUUAAAUUUAGGUCCAUCAUCAUCAUCUUGUCUCACUGGUUGUCCACGUGCAGCUACAAACCCAACCCCUGGACCUCAUGGUGUGUACUGUAUGUUUUAUCCUGGUUAAAAUAUAUAUAGAAAACACAUGUUUGUAUGAUUUGCUGAAUUACUUUUGUUCUUUCCAGACAUCUCCCAAUCAAGGGCAGCAGAUC
rnacentral:lncRNA from 1 species